CUCCCUCCCUUCUUUGCCGUCCUCCAUUUUCCUUCUGUUAAUUUCCGCCGUCACCGUUUUCAGUCACGCCGGAGCUCUUCCCCUGGCUGCUUGAGCCCCUUUCCUCCUGUCAAGCUGCCUGGAGGUUUCCUUGUCAGCGGCUGGCAGGGAGGAGCUGCCUCCUGGAGAUGUUCAUUUGGAGAGGCGAGCUGACAGGCCUGACAGCCCGUCCCCACAGGGCUUUUGUCAUGUGAUUCCAGGCUCCCCGCAGCCAAUCUGCAUACCACAGCAUAGACAAAGACGGACCGCUCUCCCUCCCCUCUCGCAGACAGACUUCCUUAACAGGCUUUGGAGAUUAACACCGCUUGCUCCCAGUUUCUGGGGUUUUUAAUGCAGCGGUAUUAAAUGAACUGAUUCACGCUGGCUGUAAUUUUUACUCUUUUACAAUCAGCCAGCUCCCAUCACUCUAAAAGAGACAAAACGUCCACCUCUCUGCGCUAAGAACGGUCGCCUAAAUAAUGAGUCUUCUGGAUUAUUCAGUGUCUGGAUGACUGAGUUCUUGUACAGUGUGAUGAUAUGAACCAGUUUGCACGAGGUUUUGUCAUUAAAUAACUGUUCCAGGUUCGAUAUGAAUAAAGCUUAACCAACAGCAUUUGUGGUAUUAAUCAUCACUAACUAAAUAAAUACAUUUAAACUUG